GUUUUGGAUGGCAGGGUGUUCUUAGGAAUCAGGAAGGUGGGCUCCCAAGCACAGGAGGAAUGGAUCUGGCCAGCAGGAAGGAUGGCUAAUGUUCUGAGACCCAGUAGGUAAGAAUGAGGAUAGACUACAAGGUCAGAGGACAGAAGCAUGAAGGCAUUUCCAAGAGUGCAUCUGUAAAUCUGAAGAGGGCUGAAGUGGGGAAGGCAAUCUGAAAAAAGCGAGGGAAAAAACAAAACAAAACAUUUCACUGAUAUGUGUGACCCUUUUCACCUAGCAGUGAAGGAAACUCAUGUUGACUGAACACCUCCCCUGGGAUGUGUGGGACCUGGGAUGAGAACUUUCACAUAGCUGCUGUGUUCAUGUCCAUCACCACCCUGUGAGGUGGAUCCCAGCAAGAUGACUUCUACCCUACAAAGAGGUUGAGAAUCCUGUUUCAAAUGCUGGAUGGAUCCCUGUGAAUCUGUCACUUUAAGAAGGGAGACUGCCCAGUGAAAGCAGUGGAAAGAAAAAGAGCGUUAAAAGGACGUUUGAGGCUCCUGGCAAUGAGGAUCUUCCUACAAUGGGUGCAACAAAUUCCUGGGCCUUCCAGAGGUUCUGGAUGCAAAUUAAGUUGCUUCUCAGCUUCCCCCACUGCUGGCUGAUGGUUGAGAUUUCCUGCAUCUUCCAGAAGCAAAAUAUGCUGAAAUUCAAGAACUGGGCAUGAAUGACUGUGUCACUCGCCAGAGCUGAGCCACCUCCAAGCAGUGAGCCAGGCCAAUCAUGUGAGGCCCUGCCACCUUCAGACAGUGUCCUGUCCCCCUUCACCAGGAACAAACAGAGGACGGCCUGUCGCCUCUCAGCUCCCUGCCUGCCCUCAGACUUUCACAUACUCUUUAUCGAGUUUUACAGAGCUUUUCUGACUCUGUAACAAACAGUCAAAUAAAAAUGCUGUGUUCCCAAAACUAGAAAAUGUUCUCCAUCUGGACUUUUCCCAGGGCCUCAAAUUUACAUUGUUGAAAUUCUUUAUCCCAUGCUGCCCUCCUCACCAGCCUUUUUGAAAUGGAUAAUUUACCAUUAAGGAAAAUCUGCACUUUAUUAUAUAAAUAGUAAAAGUACUGUGCUUAUUUAACUCUCAAAAGAA
rnacentral:lncRNA from 10 species